rnacentral:rRNA from 1 species
UACGGAGGAUCCAAGCGUUAUCCGGAUUUAUUGGGUUUAAAGGGUGCGUAGGCGGCCUAUUAAGUCAGGGGUGAAAGACGGUGGCUCAACCAUCGCAGUGCCUUUGAUACUGAUGGGCUUGAAUGAACUAGAGGUAGGCGGAAUGUGACAAGUAGCGGUGAAAUGCAUAGAUAUGUCACAGAACACCGAUUGCGAAGGCAGCUUACUAUGGUUUAAUUGACGCUGAGGCACGAAAGCGUGGGGAGCAAACAGG